UCAGAUAUUUGAUGAAGAUUCAGUGGGGUCAGCUGUGGAGAAAAUUUGUUCAGAAUCUGAUGAAAUAUCUGGCCAGAUGGGAGUGGUGGAUGAAAUUUUCCCAGCAUCAGGAUCAGUUAAGGGUCGAUAUGGCUUUUACAUAUCAUUAUCAGAGCCCUUACCAGACUCGGUUUCAUCAGGAAUAGCAGAGUUUGAAGGAGUAGAGACUGUU